AGCGAACGCUGGCGGCGUGCUUAACACAUGCAAGUCGAACGGAAAGGCCUAGCUUGCUGGGUACUCGAGUGGCGAACGGGCGAGUAACUCGUGGGUGAUCUGCCCCUGACUUUGGGAUAAGCCUGGGCAACUGGGUCUAAUACCGGAUAUUCAUUUUUCCUCGCAUGGGGAUUUGUGGAAAGCUUUUGCGGUUGGGGAUGGGCCCGCGGCCUAUCAGCUUGUUGGUGGGGUAAUGGCCUACCAAGGCGACGACGGGUAGCCGACCUGAGAGGGUGAUCGGCCACACUAGGACUGAGAGACGGCCCAGACUCCUACGGGAGGCAGAGGUGGGGAAUAUUGCACAAUGGGCGCAAGCCUGAUGCAGCGACGCCGCGUGAGGGAUGACGGCCUUCGGGUUGUAAACCUCUUUCAGCUCCGACGAAGCGCAAGUGACGGUAGGAGCAGAAGAAGCACCGGCCAACUACGUG
rnacentral:rRNA from 1 species